rnacentral:rRNA from 1 species
UCCUGGCUCAGAUUGAACGCUGGCGGCAUGGUUAAAGCAUGCAAGUCGAACGUGCCCGCAAGGGAAAGUGGCGGAAGGGUGAGGAAUACGAUUGUACGUACCCCAAGGUGGGGGAUAGCCGGGGGAAACUCCGGGUAAUACCCCAUGUGUUCUACGGAACAAAGGCUUGCCGCCUUGGGAGCGGCGAUCGUCCUAUCAGGUAGUUGGCGGGGUAACGGCCCACCAAGCCUAAGACGGGUACCGGGUGUGAGAGCACGACCCGGCACAUCGGAACUGAGACACUGUCCGGACUCCUACGGGAGGCUGCAGUGACGAAUCUUCCGCAAUGGGCGAAAGCCUGACGGAGCAAUGCCGCGUGUGGGAUGAAGCGCCUUGGCGUGUAAACCACUGUCAGGGGACAGAACCAACGAUCUACCCCAAAGGAAGAGACGGCUAACUCUGUGCCAGCAGCCGCGGUAAUACAGAGGUCUCGAGCGUUAAUCGGAAUUACUGGGCUUAAAGCGUGCGUAGGCGGGCCGCAAAGCGUCUUGUGAAAUCCCCGGGCUCAACCUGGGAACUGCGAGGCGAACUGGCGGUCUUGAGGCAGGUAGGGGCGGACAGAACAGUCGGUGGAGCGGUGAAAUGCGUAGAUAUCGACUGGAAUGCCGAUGGUGAAGGCGGUCCGCUGGGCCUGUCCUGACGCUCAGGCACGAAAGCGUGGGGAGCAAACAGGAUUAGAUACCCUGGUAGUCCACGCCGUAAACGAUGCGCACUAGACCGGUGCGGCUCUGACGUCGUAUCGGUCGAAGCAAAAGCGAUAAGUGCGCCGCCUGGGGAGUACGGUCGCAAGGCUAAAACUCAGAGGAAUUGACGGGGGCUCACACAAGCGGUGGAGCAUGUUGCUUAAUUCGACGCAACGCGAAGAACCUUAUCCUGGGCUUGACAUGCAUGGAUUAACUCUCUGAAAGGGGAGCCACACCCGCAAGGGUGGAACAUGCACAGGUGCUGCAUGGCUGUCGUCAGCUCGUGCUGUGAAGUGUCGGGUUAAGUCCCUUAACGAGCGCAACCCCUAUCGUUAGUUGCCAGCGGGUCAUGCCGGGCACUCUAGCGAGACUGCCGGUGUUAAACCGGAGGAAGGUGGGGAUGACGUCAAGUCCUCAUGGCCCUUAUGCCCAGGGCUGCAAACGUGCUACAAUGGCGCGCACAAAGCGACGCGAGGCCGCGAGGCGGAGCAAAUCGCAAAAAACGCGCCCCAGUUCGGAUUGCAGGCUGCAAUUCGCCUGCAUGAAGUCGGAAUCGCUAGUAAUCGCGGAUCAGCUACGCCGCGGUGAAUACGUUCCUGAGCCUUGUACACACCGCCCGUCAAGUCAUGGAAGCCGGUAGUGCCCGAAGUCGCCACGAUUCAGUGGUGCCUACGGCAAGAUCGGUGACUGGGACUAAGUCGUAACAAGGUAACC